rnacentral:misc_RNA from 1 species
GUAUAUAGUUUAUAAGACAAUAAAGCCUAAUAAUGACAUUCGGUUACAUUCUUAUGGGGUAUAUGAAAACAUAGGCCUGAAAACUUUACAAGGAAAGCUACUUAAAGCAAUUCCUCACGACCGAGUUGCCUCGGAAAGUUGAAUCCAGGUCUACAAAAGGUGCACAGGUGGAGAUAUAAAGAUGACAAGGUGUGCACAUGCCUUCGAAAAGACCAGCAGCAACCAAGUCAAGUUCAUUCAAUAAUGAUCCUUCCGCAGGUUCACCUACGGAAACCUUGUUACGACUUUUACUUCCUCUAAAUGACCAAGA